UUCAGAGUGCCUUGAUCUCUUGACAGAAUC
rnacentral:piRNA from 1 species